rnacentral:rRNA from 1 species
UGGGGAAUAUUGGGCAAUGGAGGAAACUCUGACCCAGCAACGCCGCGUGAGUGAUGAAGGUCUUCGGAUUGUAAAACUCUUUUAUUAGGGAAGAAGAAAGUGACGGUACCUAAUGAAUAAGCCUCGGCUAACUCCGUGCCAGCAGCCGCGGUAAUACGGAGGAGGCAAGCGUUAUCCGGAAUGACUGGGCGUAAAGGGUGCGUAGGUGGUUUGGCAAGUUGGUAGCGUAAUCCCGGGGCUCAACCUCGGAACUACUACCAAAACUGUCGGACUUGAGUGCAGGAGGGGCAACUGGAAUUCCUAGUGUAGCGGUGGAAUGCGUAGAUAUUAGGAGGAACACCAGAGGCGAAGGCGAGUUGCUGGACUGUAACUGACACUGAGGCACGAAAGCGUGGGGAGCAAACAGG